rnacentral:lncRNA from 1 species
GUGCUGUUCCCUGGCAACACCAUAGACGUCACUAUGCACAACCAAAGGCUCUUUUAAGAGCCAUUCACAUUGCAAUAAGAGUAUUCUUCUAUUUACUGAGCUAUGUCAACUGCAGUUAUUCAAUUCACAGUUUCUCUCCCUUUGAUUUCUACUUCUCAGGUGAGGGUGCUGUUUAGUAAGCAGGUUCAGGUGUAUAACUGUGGCUCCUUCCACCUUCAAAGAAUAGGCAAGAGGGCCAACCAUGGAGAAUAGUUAUAUCAGCUGUGUCGACGAACCCCUCCUGCAUCUGAACUGGCUACAUAGAGGGCACAGCAAGAUCAGAGGUGAGAAGUCACCUGGUCAGGUCAACAGGAAGUAUUAUUAAAGAGAUGCUUUACAUUGAAAUACAGAUAGAGAUGCAGUAGUCCCAGAGUUAAUGAUCCCAGG